rnacentral:rRNA from 1 species
CCUACGGGAGGCAGCAGUGGGGAAUAUUGCACAAUGGGGGAAACCCUGAUGCAGCGACGCCGCGUGAGUGAAGAAGUAAUUCGUUAUGUAAAGCUCUAUCAGCAGGGAAGAAACAGACGGUACCUGAGUAAGAAGCCCCGGCUAACUACUUGCCAGCAGCCGCGGGAAUACGUAGGAGGCAAGCGUUAUCCGGAUUUACUGGGUAGAAAGGGAGCGUAGACGGCGAAGAAAGUCUGAAGUGAAAGCCCGCGGCUAAACCGCGGGACUGCUUUGGAAACUUGUUUGCUGGAGUACCGGAGAGGUAAGGGGAAAUCCUAGUGUAGCGGUGAAAUGCGUAGAUAUUAGGAGGGA